GACGAGCCUCACAAACGUUAUUCGGAAUUACUGGGCUUAAAGGGUGCGUAGGCGGCGCGGACAGUUGGGUGUGAAAUCCCUCGGCUCAACCGAGGAACUGCGCCCAAAACUACCGUGCUCGAGGAAGAUAGAGGUGAGCGGAACUUACGGUGGAGCGGUGAAAUGCGUUGAUAUCGUAAGGAACACCCGUGGCGAAAGCGGCUCACUGGGUCUUUUCUGACGCUGAUGCACGAAAGCUAGGGGAGCAAACGGG
rnacentral:rRNA from 1 species